GCACUGCUGAGGAGUCCCACACUAGGACGAAACGGCCUUCUAGUGC
rnacentral:hammerhead_ribozyme from 1 species